GAAGAAAGGGUAAAAGCUUUUGGAGGGCCGAACUGACGUCUGUUGCAAUAGACGCAGAUGAGUUGAGGCUAGGGGUGAAAGGCCAAUCAAACUUAGAGAUAGCUGGUUCUCCGCGAAAUUUAUUGAGGUAAAGCGUUCAACGAUGUAGAAAGGGGGUAGAGCACUCAUUAGGUAAAGGGGAUCCAAAGUCUUACUGAACUUAUUGAAACUCCGAAGACCUUUCUUUGAUAUCUUGAGCAGACAGACUUAAAGUGCUAAGGUUUUAAGUCAAAAGGGAAACAGCCCAGACUGUUCGCUAAGGUCCUUAAACAUUUUGGAAGUGGUAAAAGGCGUUUUAAAACAAAGACAGCUAGGAGAUUGGCUUGGAAGCAGCCAUUCUAUAAUGAAAGCGUAAUAGCUCACUAGUCGAGUUUUAAAGCACUGAUAAUGUAUCGGGGCUUCACAAAAUUACCCAAGCGACAGAGAACAAUGGUAGCGGAGCGUUUUGUAGACCGUAGAAGAAGUUUUGUGAAAAACUUUGGAGGAUUCAAAAGUGAGAAUGCUGACAUGAGUAACGAAAAAUCAUGUGACAAUCAUGAUCGCCGUAAGUUCAAGGGUUUCUGCGUUCUGUUUUUCAGCGCAGAGUGAUCCGGUCUCUAAGUGUGUUUUUGAUAAAAAACCACGAUGAAAAAAAUGAAAGAUGACGAAAUGUUUUUUAGAAACCAACAGUUUAUUGGAUAGCUUUUUCGUUUCUAAUGUUUCCAGGAAAAAUCUUCAUAAAAUUGACCGUACCCUAAACCGACACCGGUGAACGAGUCGAGUAGACUCAGGCGUUGAGAGAACCAUAUUGAAGGAACUCGGCAAAUUUUUCCUGUACCUUUGGAAGAAAGGAAGCCAAUUUUGGUGACACAAAAAUGGGGGUGACGACUUUUUACUAAAAAAUUAGGACUCUGCAAAAUGGGAACAUGAAGUAUAGGGUCUGACGCCUGCCCGGUGCUUGAAGCUUAACCUGUAUGCUUUUUUGGUAUAUUGAGAAGGCCUAGUAAACGGCGGUUGUAACUAUAACAAUCAUAAAGUAGCGAAAUUCAUUGUCAGCUAAUUCCUGACCUGCAUGAAAGGCGUAACGAUUGCCCCACUGUCUCCAGUAUGGACUCAGUGAAAUUGAAUUCUCCGUGCAGAUGCGGAGAACGUGCCCCAAGACGAGAAGACCCUAUGCAUCUUUACUGUACAUUUACACUGGAAAAAAGCUUAAAUUGUGUAGGAUAGGUGGGAGUUGACAACAACCUUGAAAUACCACCCUUUUUAAGAAGAGUUCCUUAUUUGAACAAGGUUCAAAAACACUGUAUAUGAGGCAGUUUGACUGGGGCGGUCGCCUCCCAAAGAGUAACGGAGGUGUGCGAAGGUAAACUCAAUGAAAGACGGAAACUUUCUGUAGAGCGUAAUGGUAAAAGUUUGCCUGACUGCGAGAGUGACACCUCGAGCAGAGACGAAAGUCGGCCAUAGUGAUCCAAAAGUGCUGCGUGGAAAGACUUUUGCUUAACGAAUCAAAGAUACGCUAGGGAUAACAGGCUAAUAAUUCCCAAGAGCCCUUAUCGACGGAAUUGUUUGGCACCUCGAUGUUGACUGAUCAUAUCCUGGGGCUGAAAAAGGUCCCAAGGGUUCGGCUGUUCGCCGAUAAAAAUGGUACCUGAGUUGAGUUUAGAACGUCGUGAGACAGUUUGGAUUCUACCUGGGGUGCGCGC
rnacentral:rRNA from 1 species